CCGGGGGGGCUGCACUUGGGGUGUGUCACACGUGUGCCGCAGCCCGCGUGGCUGUGCCCGCAGCCCAUGUGUCUGUCUGUCCCGCAGUCCGUGUGUCUGUCUGUCCUGCAGCCCGUGUGUCUGUCCCCGCAUCUGGUGUGUGUGUCCCCACAGCCCACGUGGCCGUGCCUGCAGCCUGUGUGUGUCCAUGUCUGUCCCUGCAGUCCAUGUCCGUGUGUCCGUGUCUGUGUCCGUGGCCGUGGCUGUGUGCCUGUGUGUCCAUGGCCGUGUCCAUGUAUCCGUGUGUCUGUGACUGUGUCCAUGUGUCCAUGGCUGUGUCUAUGUGGCCAUGGCAGUGUCUGUGUGUCUGUGGCCCCGUCUGUUUGUCCGUGUGUCUGUGACUGUGUCCGUGGCUAUGUCUGUGUGUCCGUGGCUGUGUCUGUGGCUGUGUCCAUGUGUCCGUGGCUGUGUCUGUGUGUCAGUGGCUGUGUCCAUGGCCGUGUCCGUGUGUCCGUGGCCAUGUCCAUGUGUCCGUGUGUCCGUGUGUCCGUGUGUCUGUGUGUCCGUGGCUGUGUCCGUGGCCGUGUCCGUGGCUGUGGCCGUGUGUCCGUGUGUCCGUGUGUCCGUGUGUCCGUGUGUCCGUGUGUCCGUGGCCGUCCCCGCAGCCGCCGCUCCGCCCCGCUGUGCCGCAGCCGUGGCUGUCACAUGCGUGUGAGCGUGCUGGGCCCUGUGCACCCGUCAUGUCGCAUCCAUCACCGCGGCCCGUGGCGCCCGCCGCGCCGCCCGCGUGUCCCGCUGCCCGUGCGCGGCCACGGACGCCGGGGCUGCCCCCAAAACCUCGGGAAGCGGCGUUUGGGAGCAUCGCCGCGGCUGGGCCCUGCCUCCAGCUCCCCGCCUUCCUCUCGCCUCCAUCCCUGCUCCAUCCUUGCUCCAUCCCGCUCCAUCCCUGCUCCAUCCCUGCUCCAUCCUGGCUCCAUCCC
rnacentral:lncRNA from 1 species